AGGGCAGAAAAGCGUUUACAGCACUAUCCAUCGCUGUGCCUGCCAGUGCCCCUCUGGCUUUGGGCAAAUCGCCUCUUCUCUCUACCACAGUCUGAUCCUGCUCCCCCUGAGAAUCAAUGCAAUCUGGUGUCUGGGGAAUGCAAAGAAAGACUUCGAAAUCUUCCAGAAAAAAGACCUCUUACUGCAAGAUCCAGGUUUCGUGAAAGGGCACGGCACAGCACCGCCACUCAACCCUUUCCCCUCCCCCCCAGAUGUGGAUCCUCAAUCCCAUGGAGGGGCUUCCACAAGGAUCUGGGAAAUAAUGGAACAGAGUUGAUAGAGGUCCAAAGGAUUUUCAUCUCCCCAGCCCACAAAGUCAGAGGGGAUGGCAGACAUGUGAGCAAGGACUUCAAGGGCUGCAGACUUGGAUUGAAAUAUAAUUUUAAAAGGGAUGUCUCUCUCCAGAGACAAAGAGGAAGAAUUUUAUGCAGAAUGGCUUCCCUCCUGCCCAGAUACCAUACAAGAAGAUUCAGAGAAGAUUUCAUUAUAUCUCACCAUGGACUAACUUACAGAACUCUUAACUCCCCUGUAUAUAAUUUUGGAGAAUCCACAGGACCCAUAUGGACUGAAACACUGGACCCUUUUGGUUUAGUUUUGUUUAAAACCCAGAGAGGUAAAAAUGUAACAUCCUUUGUGUUAAUGUAUCACAUUGCUGCUGACUGAAUAUGCAUGGAGUAACCAAUAAAUGACCUAUUUUAAAAAAUAAUCA
rnacentral:lncRNA from 1 species